UGCUGGGUGGAUUAGUGGCGAACGGGUGAGUAACACGUGAGUAACCUGCCCUUGACUUCGGGAUAACUCCGGGAAACCGGGGCUAAUACCGGAUAUGAGCCGCCUUCGCAUGGGGGUGGUUGGAAAGUUUUUCGGUCAGGGAUGGGCUCGCGGCCUAUCAGCUUGUUGGUGGGGUGAUGGCCUACCAAGGCGACGACGGGUAGCCGGCCUGAGAGGGCGACCGGCCACACUGGGACUGAGACACGGCCCAGACUCCUACGGGAGGCAGCAGUGGGGAAUAUUGCACAAUGGGCGAAAGCCUGAUGCAGCGACGCCGCGUGAGGGAUGAAGGCCUUCGGGUUGUAAACCUCUUUCAGCAGGGAAGAAGCGCAAGUGACGGUACCUGCAGAAGAAGCGCCGGCUAACUACGUGCCAGCAGCCGCGGUAAUACGUAGGGCGCAAGCGUUGUCCGGAAUUAUUGGGCGUAAAGAGCUCGUAGGCGGUUUGCCGCGUCUGGUGUGAAAACUCGAGGCUCAACCUCGAGCUUGCAUCGGGUACGGGCAGACUAGAGUGCGGUAGGGGAGACUGGAAUUCCUGGUGUAGCGGUGGAAUGCGCAGAUAUCAGGAGGAACACCGAUGGCGAAGGCAGGUCUCUGGGCCGCAACUGACGCUGAGGAGCGAAAGCAUGGGGAGCGAACAGGAUUAGAUACCCUGGUAGUCCAUGCCGUAAACGUUGGGCACUAGGUGUGGGGCUCAUUCCACGAGUUCCGUGCCGCAGCAAACGCAUUAAGUGCCCCGCCUGGGGAGUACGGCCGCAAGGCUAAAACUCAAAGGAAUUGACGGGGGCCCGCACAAGCGGCGGAGCAUGCGGAUUAAUUCGAUGCAACGCGAAGAACCUUACCAAGGCUUGACAUGCACG
rnacentral:rRNA from 1 species